GAUGAACGCUGGCGGCGUGCUUAACACAUGCAAGUCGAACGGUGAAGGCGGAGCUUGCUCUGCUGGAUCAGUGGCGAACGGGUGAGUAACACGUGAGCAAUCUGCCCCUGACUCUGGGAUAAGCGCUGGAAACGGCGUCUAAUACUGGAUACGAGCUGCGAAGGCAUCUUCAGCAGCUGGAAAGAACUUCGGUCAGGGAUGAGCUCGCGGCCUAUCAGCUUGUUGGUGAGGUAACGGCUCACCAAGGCGUCGACGGGUAGCCGGCCUGAGAGGGUGACCGGCCACACUGGGACUGAGACACGGCGCAGCCUCCUACGGGAGGCAGCAGUGGGGAAUAUUGCACAAUGGGCGAAAGCCUGAUGCAGCAACGCCGCGUGAGGGACGACGGCCUUCGGGUUGUAAACCUCUUUUAGCAGGGAAGAAGCGAAAGUGACGGUACCUGCAGAAAAAGCGCCGGCUAACUACGUG
rnacentral:rRNA from 1 species